CCCCCCCCCCCCCCAGGUCCAGCUCUUCACUUCACAGAUAAGAGCAGAUUAAGAAAAUGCAGCGAAUGAUGCAGCACCCUUUUCAAGUCAGUUAUCUUGCAGACAUAAACAAUAGAAUGUUUUUGUUUUUUUUUUAUUCUGAGGAAAAUCUUGAACAUAUUCAUAGUGUUUCUAUUAAAUUUUGUGGGCCAUCAGUAUACUAAAAUCUGCUCAGAAUAGGUAAGUCAUUCAAUAGAAUAUUACAGAUUAUUUUCCUUGCUUUUUCUGGCUUGAAUCCAGACUUAGGACAGCUUGGAUAUAUUAGCACCUGAGAUGUCUGCAGGCAGUUUAAAUUAGCUGUUUACCUGGUUGGUUUAUGAAAGAUGAUAGGAGAUUGGGCACUUAUUCUCAUGAUUAUUUCAGUGUCUACAUGCUCACAGUGAAAUUUGCCUGUUAGUUUUCCACUGGAACUAAAAUAAAGCUUUACAAGAAUAUUAAGCACUUGUGUGAGAUGAGACUGAAGAUACAGAACUAGUGUCUGGCUAUGUUCUAGGCAAUUUCUUUACUUGAAUUUGCUCUUCAGCUUAAGUUCACUGGCUGCUCAAAGCAUCAGCUGGCUUACCUGCAGUAUUAAAACUGGGAACUACAGGGCAGUCAUACAGUUACAUUUUUAACCAGUUUCAGUUACAUUUCCAACGGCCACAGCCGUGCUGGCAGCAGGUGGUGCUGAAGGGAGCAGAGGUUAAAAGACUAAGCAGAAAAAGUUGAAUGCCUGGAGGAGAAAAUCUGAUCAUUUAACACACUGUAGUUACGCUUUAAAGGUUUCAGAUGAUGAACUGCAAUUGCAUAGUGUGGGGAUUCUUUUGGCUCAUUGUGCUGCUCUUUCUUGGCUGGCCCAUAAGCAUAGCCUUGUGUGCCCUCCAUGGAUUCCUUUCUCCUCUUGUGAUUUUAAUAGGACUGGAUGAAUUAGGUGAAGUGCUACUGAAGGGUGCAUGUCUGGGGAGGCAGUGUGCUCAGAAUGUGCGUAAUGGCAAGGCCCUCUGUUAAGCAGUGAAGACAGUAAAACAAACAUUCACCUGCAUGUUACAAGAUUUUAAAGUUUACUCUGUAAAUCUUACAUUUUUUUCCAGUUCUAAAUAAUGUAUUUAUUUAUUUUAAGUUUUUGAGUGUGUAUUUCUCUUAUGGAUGUCUGGAAACUUUGGCAAUUCAGAAGUUUGUCACUGAUAAUUCAUAAUACAAGUUGUAGCUGUUGUUUUGAAAGUGGGUAAUGAUGCUGUACAUGGAGAAGGUAGAGAAGUAUGUAUUGCAAGAUUUGAACUGAGUGUCAAAAUCUGUUUAAAUGGUUGAAAAUACUGCCUAUGGGGUGGAAUGUCCCAAAUGGGUCUGACUAUGACACUUGAGAAGAGUGGAUUCUGAACUGGAAAUUUAUUUUUGUGAACACUUUAUUCUACAGUGCACACUGUUCAAUAGUGUGAAUAGAUGUGAAAUUCUGAUGUCUGUAUAGCAUGUAUCUUUUCAUUUUUUUAUGUUUCUGUUCUUUCUUUGCUUUAAAAAAGACAUAAUCUUUUGCACUAUGACAUCACUUUGUAUUAAUCUUCUGUGAACUGCAGGAUUUCAGUGGAACUACUUUGCUGAUGUGGGUUCACUGCACUGAUUUUCAAGUACAUUACAAUAAAGAACUUCUGUAAAAACA